CGGGGUGUGGCGCAGCUUGGUAGCGCACAAGUCUGGGGGACUUGGGGCCGGAGGUUCAAAUCCUCUCACUCCGACCA
rnacentral:tRNA from 2 species